AAUUGAAAUCCUGGCAGCUGAGUUUGGUGAAACCCCGCGUGUUUUAAGCGCGAGUUCGUGUUGAAUUCCUUGUUUUUGGGAAAAAAGAGCAGGCCUAAAAUUCAGUUUUUUCCCAGAAUUCCUCUCGAGAGGAAACCACAACAAAUGGAGCAGCAGGAGCGGAGAACCAUUAGACCGAAACACAAAAGGAAAAGGAGCAAGAAGAGUAUGAAAUCGGAGACCAUCUUCGCCCUGAUGCUCGCAUCCCUUCACGCAACAUCUUCUUCUUCUACGACUUUCGCCAACCCUAACAAGAAGCAGAGGAAGAAAAAUGAUUCCCGCAGACCAAACUCUUAUCAUCAUCAUCAACUCCAACUCCAACUCCUAACCCAGCUCCGCCUCUCUCUUCUCUCCAAAACCCAUAAUUCUCCUCCUCUUUUUCCCAAUUUAACCCUACCCCUUCCCAUCCUCUCUUUGCUUCCACUCCUCCUCACUUCCAAGUAUGCUGAGGUUGUGUGCAAGUGUGCGGAGUUUGUGGGGGUGGCCGCGUUGUUUUCGCUAGAAAUGAAUGAGCAAAUAGCUGGUGAUGAUGAAAUCGUGAAAGGUCUGAUCUUUGCGUUGUCGAGUUCAAAUGGAAGGAGGAGUUCGUCGAUCGCUGCUUGCAAUGCUGUUUUGGAUAUGGCCACGACGUCGUUCGGGCGACAACGCCUCGUUGAAUCUUCUUUCCUUGAGUGUCUUAUUUUUCACUUCCUUCAGGUCUCUAGAAAUUCACAGGCAUUGGUUUGUCUUUCUAAUGAGGAAAGAGGAAGUGAGGCCCGACUUAGAAUAAGGUUUGAGGAAGAUGAGCUUCCAGUCUCUCUUCUUGAUGCUUCCAUUAUGCUCAUCAACGCCUGCUCAACAGAAAACCUGGAGAAGAUCCCAAAGAAGCUCUCAGAAAGUUUAUUGGUGUACUUGAAAAAAUUCUGGACUAAAGUUCGUUCACAAAUGUUACUUUGCACCAACACCAUCUUGAAACGCAGUCAAGAGUCACAUUCCUGUGUCAGCAAUUUUAGUACAAAUAAUCUGGCAGAGAGCAUUUUUAGACUCUCCAUUAUUGUGGAUGAGCUUACCACACCUCGCCAUAUGGAUGUUGUUAAGAGAUGCAUAUUCAGCAGGGAUGGGUCUGGUUUUGAAAAUUUCAUGGAGAACAACUGGGAGGUGUCACCUAUGCUUAUAGGAAAGUUCUCAUCAGGUUUAAAUGAGGGCACUGAUAUCUUUGGUUCUUUUAGACAGUCUCUAGAUUUCUACGAGGCAUUUCCUUCUUUCCUUUCUACGAUCCUUAAGAAUCUUGUUUCUUGUCCACCUAUCACUUCAGAUGAGUUAGACAUUCUUCAUUUCCUCAAGGAGAUGAAAAAUCAAUUGGGUUGCCCUAUGAUAUACAAACAGGACAUAAGAGUCUUGAAAACACAGAAUUUAAAAAGAGAGGUGCACUUUUUUCAGGACUUGCAGUUUCUCAUUAUGGAUGAUAUUUUGAGAUGCAAAGAAGCAUAUGAAGAAGGUUAUACAAUUGCGCUUCGUGGCAUGGAGUUCCGCUUGGGGAGUAUUGCUGAUUUAGUAGAUGGUUUGGCAUACCUGUUUGGUCAACCAUCUGCAGGAGUUAAUAUGUACCUGACGCCGCCUAAUUCUCAGGGUCUGGCUUGUCACAGGGAUGAUCACUGCGUGUUUGUAUGCCAACUUGUUGGAGUUAAGAAAUGGACUGUUUUUCAUCCAAAAACUCUCCAGUUACCCCGGUUGUAUGAAACUGUUGAAAACACACAUGAGGCUGCUACGUUGGCCCUGGAUGGAUCCGAACAAAUUUUUCUUAGAGAAGGGGAUGUUUUGUAUAUUCCUAGAGGUUUUCCUCAUGAGGCGUGUACUGUUGUGGAUAAUGACCGACCUAAUGAGACUGCUGAGUUGUCCUUACAUCUGACACUUGCUAUUGAGGUGGAACCUCCAUUUGAGUGGGAGGGAUUCGCUCAUGUUGCACUUCAUAAUUGGAAUCAGAAUCAGAAGCAAUCUAGUUCUAUGUCAUGUGAUUCAUUGUGUGGGAGUCUGAAUGCUAUUUCUGUGAUCCUAAUGCGUGUUGCAAUCAAGCUAAUUGGUGAUUCUGAUCCUACCUUUCGUAAAGCUUGCUUGGUUGGUGCAAUUUCAUUAUUGUCAGAUAGCGAAGGCUGGCUUGAUCUGAAUCAGAGAUCAAUUUUCAGCCAUUUGAUUAAAAGCAUUGAUGCUAAAUCAAGUUUCUCAGAUGCACUUCGGAAUGUGACGAUGUCUCUCCAGGAAAACGAAGAUCCAUUACAGCAGAUAAGAUGGCUGCAGCAUCUUGGCAAUGAUGAACAAGUAAUUGAGGUACAAGAAUGGAGUAUUCCUUCAAUUGAACAACUUCAACACCUUAUUCUAUUUUGCCAUGACCAUAAAGAUGAGGCAGAAGCUGCAUUCAUGGAAGUCAAGUGCAAGUUCUGCAAUGAAGCAGCUUUUGAGGAUGUGGAAAAGUGCUACAAGAUAUUGCUUGGGAAGUACAGAAAGGUCCGGAAACAAUAUACGAGUGGGAUGCUUUCGUUGCAUUGCAAUUGACAAAUAUUGGUGCACCGGUGGCCAUUAACCUCUACUUCAUUCUAUAUGUAUUUUCAGGUGUAAAGUGAUGAAUUGAGGUGAAUUUGUCCGCUCCGUACGGAUUCAGAAACGUUCACGGCUUAUGCAUUAAAUAAUUCUCGUCCUCACCGAUGAAGCCUGGUUUUUGGUCACCAUCACCUUUGUCCGCAUGCCUCUCUCUCUCUCUCUCUCUCUCUCUCUCUCUCUCUCACACACACACACACAGACU